GUGCCAGCCGCCGCGGUAAUACCGGCAGUCCAAGUGAUGGCCAAUCUUAUUGGGCCUAAAGCGUCCGUAGCCGGCCUCGAAAGUCCGUCGGGAAAUCCACUGGCUCAACCAGUGGGCGUCCGGCGGAAACUUCGAGGCUUGGGACCGGAAGGCUCGAGGGGUACGUCCGGGGUAGGAGUGAAAUCCUGUAAUCCCGGACGGACCACCGAUGGCGAAAGCACCUCGAGAAGACGGAUCCGACGGUGAGGGACGAAAGCUAGGGUCUCGAACCGGAUUAGAUACCCUGGUAGUCC
rnacentral:rRNA from 1 species